GCAAGUCGAACGCAGUAGCAAUACUGAGUGGCAGACGGGUGAGUAACAUGUGGGAAUCUGCCUUGUGGUUCAGGACAACAUUGGGAAACCGAUGCUAAUACUGGAUAAGCCCUUACGGGGAAAGUUUUAAUGCCAUAAGAUGAGCCCGCAUUUGAUUAGUUAGUUGGUGAGGUAAUGGCUCACCAAGACAAUGAUCAAUAGCUGAUCUGAGAGGAUGAUCAGCCACACUGGGACUGAGACACGGCCCAGACUCCUACGGGAGGCAGCAGUGGGGAAUCUUGCACAAUGGAGGAAACUCUGAUGCAGCGACGCCGCGUGAGUGAAGAAGGCCUUUGGGUUGUAAAGCUCUUUUGUAGGGGAAGAUAAUGACUGUACCCUAAGAAUAAGGUCCGGCUAACUUCGUGCUAGCAGUCGCGGUAAUACGAAGGGACCUAGCGUAGUUCGGAAUUACUGGGCGUAAAGCGCGCGUAGGCCGUUGAGUUAGUUAAUUGUGAAAUCCCAAAGCUUAACUUUGGAACUGCAAUUAAAACUGCUCGACUAGAGUUUGAUAGAGGAAAGCGGAAUACAUAGUGUAGAGGUGAAAUUCGUAGAUAUUAUGUAGAACACCAGUUGCGAAGGCGGCUUUCUGGAUCAACACUGACGCUGAGGCGCGAAAGUAUGGGUAGCAAAGAGGAUUAGAUACCCUCGUAGUCCAUACCAUAAACGAUGAUUGCUAGAUGUUGGAAAUUUAUUUUCAGUAUCGCAGCUAACGCAUUAAGCAAUCCGCCUGGGGAGUACGACCGCAAGGUUAAAACUCAAAUGAAUUGACGGGGACCCGCACAAGCGGUGGAGCAUGUGGUUUAAUUCGAAGAUACGCGCAGAACCUUACCAACCCUUGACAUGUCUGUCGCGAGUUUAGGAAACUAGACUUUUCGGUUCGGCCGGACAGAACACAGGUGCUGCAUGGCUGUCGUCAGCUCGUGUCGUGAGAUGUUGGGUUGAG
rnacentral:rRNA from 1 species